rnacentral:lncRNA from 1 species
CUUGUUUAUUAUCGAAGUACGUAUAGUUGAGAUUAAAGAUUUGUGGUUAGAAAUGAUGGUGGGAAUGAUGAAAUAGAAUUUCAUAAAUAGGCUUGCUUGGGCUUAGUGGGCUAUGCCCAUUGGGCCCUUACACCGAUCAUGGCCUGAAAAUUGGGCUGUGACAUAACACUUGUGUUUUCAUGUCACUACAAGUGUAAUGCAUGUAUUCUGUGUAUAUAAGCUCUUAUUAAUGCUUAAUGGAAAUAUAGUUACAAAUAUAUACUUUGCUCUAUUUUUUGAAGUUUCUGGAUUUUGUGAUGCCUUUCCUUUCUUAAGCAUGAUUAUAGCAGUUGCUGGGAGGAGAUUUUAACUCCAUUUUGAGCAAAGAGGAAUUAUCACGACCCGGUACUCCCCUUAAGCCCCUGACAACCGCCACGACAUCCCGAUAGACAUUCAUCGCCCGGAAUGCCAACCGAAACCUCGGAAGGCUUUAAUAUCAGUUUUCACACCUCCCCUAUGAGCAUCAGUUGUUAAGUAUCUUGUUUGAGAGAUUAUAAACUAUUUCCAAAUCAAAACAAUAGAAAAAUAUUUUUUUUCUCAUAGGGGCAUUUUGGUCAUUUUUGCUUAAAAAUCUCGAAAUCAGCUAAAAAUGUAGAUACGAGUACAAAACACAUAAUUCAUAAUAAAAAAUAAGUUUAAACAUCUAAAACCUUCAUUUAAAAUGAAAUUAUGAUUAUUUGGAUAUAAUAAAAAAAUAAAAGAAAUAUUCAAUAAAAUAUUCUAUUUUCUUAUAAAAUAAUAUUUUUAGAGUUAUACGUAAAUAAUUUUUGCAGCGUAAAAGCAAAAUAAAUUUAUACAUAUUGUAAUACAGUAAGCCAGAGUAUUUAAUUUAAUUUACAAUAACCAGUGGGCUCCCGAAUAACCAAAAGUAAGGAAGACUGUGAACCUAUAGUUUGGAGGAUGCAAAUCCAAUGGUAGCCUCGAUGAAAUCAGCUAUCUACAGCCUAUUCUAAGCCUGAAAUGAGUGGAAAAGAGGGUGGUGGGAUUAUAUAAUCUCAGUGAGUAAACAAAUACCAUCUAAAAUAUCUAAAGCUGAGUAAAUGGAGAUAGAUUAAAAUAGAUCAUCAUACUGUAAUUUAUCACCUUUCAACUCAUUUCAACCAAAUAAAAUCAAUUCAUAUAAAUCGAGUAAUCAACAUGGCUUAUGAAUUUCUUAAAACUUUGGCUCGUGCCAAAAUCAUUCUCAUACUCAGUUAUCAGGGAUACCUUGGCCUAGGGCUAUCCCAACCGAGUCCGCCAAGGUUUGUUAAAAAGUUAUGUACGCAUAAAUCAUGUUUUUAUUUUGAAAACAUAGCCGUUCCUUGGCGUUGGCUGAGUUCACCCUCACGUGGUGGUUUGGCGUGAAGUGAACUCUAAAGUUGUACCUCGAGAGUUACCCUACACGCCUCUCCGACUGAGGUAAGAAUAUAACGGGGUUACCAUGCCCCUCUAAUAGGUUGGUCCACAGAACCUGCCCAUUGCAGCAAGCUAAACCCACCAAUUCAAUAAAAUUUGUAAUAGCAUAACAUGGCAAUUAUAUUACAAUCCAGACUCUCAAGGCUAAAUACACAGUUCAUAUAUUAUCAUAAGCCAUUCAGCCUCUCAAGCCCGUGCUGAUAUUUUCUUCACAACUUUGGAACCUACUGGAAGGAACGACAAUCACAAAUAAAUAAUAGCAAUUAAUUUCAACACAAAUACCAAUUCAGCCAUUCAUGCAAAUAUUGUCAUAAGCCAUUCGAUUCAAACCAUGAAUUUACAACACAUGAAAACAGUCUCCAAUUACUCUAUUUUCAAAACCAUCAUUCAAUUUCAAGACAAUGUUAUAAAAUCAUUUCAUUAAAUCACAUUUUAAUUACAAAACACAAGGAUUUACCAUUUAACUCAUGUUUCAUAAAAUCACAAAAUCGGAUAAAAACCACUUUAGAUAAUUAAGAUGAUAGUAAGGUUACUCACUAUUUCGAGAGUCGAAUUCCAAGUACUCCGAUUCUUGAUCCUCGAGUACUAUCUCUUUACUUUUGCCAGAAUGCUCACCACCUAGACAUAAUGCACAAUAAGCCAUUUACUACAUUUGUGCUAAAUUGUUAUAAAACCAAUUUAGGCUCUAUACUAAUGCAUGAAAUGGGAUGUNAUUUCCAAUUCAACUCCAAUUAGUUCCAUAUUUCUUCCAAUUCUCCAAACCAUCAAACACAAGUCAAAUAGCAUAAAAUUUAGCAAAAUCAUCUUCACAUUUUCUGUUGGGAAUUUCGACCAUGGUGAGUGCAUCAACACUAUGAUUUUUCCUACUCGAUUUUCUCACCAUAAUUCAUCAUUUCCUAAUCAAUUCGCUUGAAAAAAAAUCAAAAUCAUCAUCAGUAUUCCACAUGGAGAAUUCGGCCAAUGAUGGGUUAUGGAAGAAAAUGAAUUUUUCUUGUUUGUUUUUCAUGCUACACAUCACUAACUAACUUAAAACACUAAAAUACAUUGAAAUCUAACCAAAUCAAGCAUCAAAACUCCUCCCCCCAUGUCCGGCCAUCAAGGGUAUCCUCAUGCAAACUUGAUUCUCAACCAUGGAAAAUGAAAAAGAAUGCAUAGGAAAGGUAGAUCACAAGCUAGAAUUGAAAAAUCUUACCUUUUGUCACUUGUUUCCUUGAAUUUUCACACUUUUCCCUUGAAUUUUUCCACCAAGGGUUUUUGUUCUUCCUUU